rnacentral:rRNA from 1 species
CGUUCUGUAAGCCUGUGAAGGUGGCCUGUGAGGGUUGCUGGAGGUAUCAGAAGUGCGAAUGCUGACAUAAGUAACGAUAAAGCGGGUGAAAAGCCCGCUCGCCGGAAGACCAAGGGUUCCUGUCCAACGUUAAUCGGGGCAGGGUGAGUCGACCCCUAAGGCGAGGCCGAAAGGCGUAGUCGAUGGGAAACAGGUUAAUAUUCCUGUACUUGGUGUUACUGCGAAGGGGGGACGGAGAAGGCUAUGUUGGCCGGGCGACGGUUGUCCCGGUUUAAGCGUGUAGGCUGGUUUUCCAGGCAAAUCCGGAAAACCAAGGCUGAGGCGUGAUGACGAGGCACUACGGUGCUGAAGCGACAAAUGCCCUGCUUCCAGGAAAAGCCUCUAAGCAUCAGGUAACAUCAAAUCGUACCCCAAACCGACACAGGUGGUCAGGUAGAGAAUACCAAGGCGCUUGAGAGAACUCGGGUGAAGGAACUAGGCAAAAUGGUGCCGUAACUUCGGGAGAAGGCACGCUGAUAUGUAGGUGAAGCGACUUGCUCGUGGAGCUGAAAUCAGUCGAAGAUACCAGCUGGCUGCAACUGUUUAUUAAAAACACAGCACUGUGCAAACACGAAAGUGGACGUAUACGGUGUGACGCCUGCCCGGUGCCGGAAGGUUAAUUGAUGGGGUUAGCGGUAACGCGAAGCUCUUGAUCGAAGCCCCGGUAAACGGCGGCCGUAACUAUAACGGUCCUAAGGUAGCGAAAUUCCUUGUCGGGUAAGUUCCGACCUGCACGAAUGGCGUAAUGAUGGCCAGGCUGUCUCCACCCGAGACUCAGUGAAAUUGAACUCGCUGUGAAGAUGCAGUGUACCCGCGGCAAGACGGAAAGACCCCGUGAACCUUUACUAUAGCUUGACACUGAACAUUGAGCCUUGAUGUGUAGGAUAGGUGGGAGGCUUUGAAGUGUGGACGCCAGUCUGCAUGGAGCCGACCUUGAAAUACCACCCUUUAAUGUUUGAUGUUCUAACGUUGGCCCGUAAUCCGGGUUGCGGACAGUGUCUGGUGGGUAGUUUGACUGGGGCGGUCUCCUCCUAAAGAGUAACGGAGGAGCACGAAGGUUGGCUAAUCCUGGUCGGACAUCAGGAGGUUAGUGCAAUGGCAUAAGCCAGCUUGACUGCGAGCGUGACGGCGCGAGCAGGUGCGAAAGCAGGUCAUAGUGAUCCGGUGGUUCUGAAUGGAAGGGCCAUCGCUCAACGGAUAAAAGGUACUCCGGGGAUAACAGGCUGAUACCGCCCAAGAGUUCAUAUCGACGGCGGUGUUUGGCACCUCGAUGUCGGCUCAUCACAUCCUGGGGCUGAAGUAGGUCCCAAGGGUAUGGCUGUUCGCCAUUUAAAGUGGUACGCGAGCUGGGUUUAGAACGUCGUGAGACAGUUCGGUCCCUAUCUGCCGUGGGCGCUGGAGAACUGAGGGGGGCUGCUCCUAGUACGAGAGGACCGGAGUGGACGCAUCACUGGUGUUCGGGUUGUCAUGCCAAUGGCACUGCCCGGUAGCUAAAUGCGGAAGAGAUAAGUGCUGAAAGCAUCUAAGCACGAAACUUGC